CUGGCCUUGACAUCGUGCGAACUUUCUAGAGAUAGAUUGGUGCUUUUGGGAACGCAGUGACAGGUGCUGCAUGGCCGUCGUCAGCUCGUGUCGUGAGAUGUUGGGUUAAGUCCCGUAACGAGCGCAACCCCUAUCCCUAGUUGCUAGCAGUUCGGCUGAGAACUCUAGGGAGACUGCCGGUGACAAACCGGAGGAAGGUGGGGAUGACGUCAGGUCAUCAUGGCCCUUACGUCCAGGGCUACACACGUGCUACAAUGGUGCGUACAGAGGGCUGCAAACCCGCGAGGGGGAGCUAAUCUCACAAAACGCAUCGUAGUCCGGAUCGGAGUCUGCAAUUGGACUCCGUGAAGUCGGAAUCGCUAGUAAUCGCGAAUCAGAAUGUCGCGGUGAAUACGUUCCC
rnacentral:rRNA from 1 species